CCUACGGGAGGCAGCAGUGAGGAAUAUUGGUCAAUGGGCGCGAGCCUGAACCAGCCAAGUAGCGUGAAGGAUGACUGCCCUACGGGUUGUAACCUUCUUUUAUAAAGGCAUAAAGUGAGACACGUGUGCCUUUUUGUAUGUAGUUUAUGAAUAAGGAUCGGCUAACUCAGUGCCAGCAGCCGCGGUAAUACGGAGGAUCCGCGCGUUAUCCGGAUUGAUUGGGUUUAAGGGGAGCGUAGAUGGGUUGUUAAGUCAGUUGUGAAAGUUUGCGGCUCAACCGUAAAAUUGCAAUUGAUACUGGCAGUCUUGAGUACAGUUGAGGUAGGCGGAAUUCGUGGUGUAGCGGUGAAAUGCUUAGAUAUCACGAAGAACUCCGAUUGCGAAGGCAGCUUACUAAACUGCCACUGACAUUGAUGCUCGAAAGUGUGGGUAUCAAACAGGAUUAGAUACCCUAGUAGUC
rnacentral:rRNA from 1 species